CAUGUUCUGUCUCUCUCUGUCCCAAAAAUAAAUAAACGUUGAAAAAAAAAAAAAAAAAAAGAAGGCAUCACGUCAAGCCUGGACACUCUGCCUCUGGACUUGAUGUUUUCUGCACAGAAGAGAUAAUGUAAGCCACCGUUUAAUCACAUUUUGUGAUACAACCAAACACGAUCAAGCCUGAUUGAUAUACGAGGCUGACAGUCACUAGUACGUAGUCUGAAAAGAGAAUAAAAUGUAGAGCACUGUGAUGUAAUUAAAUAUACUGAAAAUGCCAUAGUGAGUUUGCUAACAAAGUCGCAUGUAGUCAGUCGAAAUGGCAAAACCACAGAUGAAAGAAACUGAACCGCAGGGGAGCCUGAGUGGCUCAGUCAGUUAAGAAUCUUACUCUUGGUUUCAGCUCAGGUCAUGAUCUCACAGCUUAUGGGUUCGAUUACUACGUCGGGCUCUAUGCUGACAAUGUGGAGCCUGCUUGGGAUUCUCUCUCUAUGCCUCCCACCUGCCCACCCCCAUCGUCUCUCUUGCUCUCAAAUAAAUAAGAAGGAAGGAAGGAAGGAAGGAAGGAAGGAAGGAAGGAAGGAAGGAAGGAAGGAAGGAAGGAAGGAAAAGAAAGAAAGAAAGAAAGAAAGAAAGAAAGAAAGAAAGAAAGAAAGAGAAAAGAAAGAAAGAAAGAAACUGAACUGUAGAUAUGAAAUGUUCUUGAGGCCUGGAUCUUUCAUUUACUGGCCUUGGCAAAGUUCUAAGAAUCCCAUGAUAUCUGCUAGUUCACUUUCUGGUCAUUCUGGGCCCACUCUGAGCUCCCAAGGCCACCACAACUUUCAAGUUUGUCACGUCAGUGGGCCUUUACCACUCAGGAGGAGUGUGUAGCAGACCACUCCCUCCUUUUCAAAACAGCCUCCUUUCAGCCCACACACUCCUCUGGCCCCACCAGCUUUGAGCGGGUUUCCUUCUCUGUGGUUCCUUCUCCUCUGCAGGCUGAUCCUCCUCUACCUGCUGCCAAUGUUGGCAUGUCCUGGUACGAGGCCUUGGGUCCUCUCUCUUUUUAUCCCUGGUCAUCUGGCAAAUACCAUCUUCAAGCUAAUGACCCAUGCAUUCAUAAUGCCUGCCCAAACUUUCCCCUCUGAGGUCCAAAUUCAUGCAAUUGUCUGCUUGACUCUUCCACUCGGAUGAGGCAUAGUGUCUCAGCCUUAGUGCAUCCCAAACAUCCAUCAACAAAAUACGGUCUCGCCAUACAAUGAACAGAGUACUGAUGUACAUACACCACAGUACGGGUGAACCUGAGAAAUACAUAACGUGGUGGAAGAAGCCGCACAAAAGGUCGCAUACUGGAUGAUUCUGUUCAUACCACAUGCCCAGAAUAGGUGAAGCCACAGAGAUGACGAGCAGAUUAGUGGCCUCCUAGGGAAGGGAGUAACAACAGGGAGUUGUUGGGCACAGGAUCUUCCUGGGGUAAAGCAAAAGUGCAAAAACGGGAUUGUGGCAAUGGUUGCACAACUCUGUGAAUGACUAAAAAUCACCGAACUGUGCCCUUAAAUGAAGGUUAUGAUCUGGAAAUUACACUUCAAUAAAGCUGUCUUUAAGAAAACCCUAUACUGUUGGGGCACCUGUAGCUCAGCCAGUCGAGCGUCCGACUCUUGAUUUCCGCUCAGUUCACGAUCUCAUGGUUUGUGAGUUUGAACCCCGUGUCUGGCUCUGUGCUGACAGUGUGGAGCUUGCUUGGGAUUCUCUCUCUCCCCUCCCCUGCUAAUGUGUGUGUGUGUGUGUGUGUGUGUGUGUGUGUGUGUGUGUGUGUGUGUAUGUGCACAUGCACGCACACGCUCUCUCAAAAUAACCUUAAAAAAAACUAUACUUAAAAAAAUGUUUUUAAUCUUUAUUUUUGACAGAGAGAGACAGAAAGACACAGAGAGAGAGACAGAAUGCAAGUGGGGGAGGAACAGAGAGAGAGAGACACACACACACAGAAUCCAAAGCAGGCUCCAGGCUCUGAGCUGUCAGCACAGAGCCCGACACGGGGCUCUAACUCACUAGCUGUGAGCUCAUUACCUUAGCCCAAGUCGGACGCUUAACUGACUGAGCCACUCAGGCGCCCGCCCCGCCCCCCCCAAAGAAACUAUACUUUUGAUGCGACCUGCUCAACAUGCUCCUUCUCCAGUCUUCCUUUCCUCAGAAAGUGGCCCCACCAUUCACAAGACCUCUGACAUCAUCCUGGAUUCUUCCUUCUCUUCACUUGCCACACUCAACCCAAGUCCUGACUCUUCUUCCAAAACACCUGUGGCCUCAAUUGCUCUCCAUCCCCAGGGCACCACUGUGCAAGAAGCCACCUUUCCCCUACAAGCUUGCAGGUAUUUCCUGACGCUUCUUCUUCACUCUUGCCCCUCUCCAAUGCAUUUUCACAUAGCACCUCAAGAAUCCUCUUAAAACAUACUUUACAGUACAUCUCCACCAUGUUUAUUAUUAUUUUUAAUGUUUAUUUUUGAGAGAGACAGAGAGUAAGUGGGGGAGGAGCAGAGAGAGAGAGACACAGAAUCGGAAGCAGGCUCCAGGCUCUGAGCUGUCAGCACAGAGCCCUAUGCGGGACCCAAACCCACAAACCGUGAGAUCAUGACCUGAGCUAAAGUUGGACGCUUAACCGACUGAGACACCCAGGUGCCCCUGCACCCCCACCAUGUUUAAACUCUUCCCAUUAAGCUUAUCAUAAUCCAAACUUCCUCACCCCUCACCCCAUGGCCUACAAGGCUCCAUCUAUCUCUCUUUGAGGCACUCUGCUUGUUCUAGAGCUAACUCAGCCUAUCACAGAGCCUUUGCACAUUCUGUGGCUCUCUGCAAAAAUAUACUGGACUACGUAUAUCAACGCACACAGUAAAAUUGCCCACUGAUCCUUGGGAAGGCUUGUCCCUUUUUCUGAAACACUAGCCAUCACACUCCUUAAAAAUAUUAAAGGAUGGUAAUGAGAAAUGGGACUUUAUUUUCCCGAGUAAGGAGUUAGUACACCCAAAGAAACCAUAAUUGGGUUUUUUUCCCCAGGAAAUUUACAGGUUUGAAAUCCAGCAUCUCUGAACCACUGCAAAACUCCAUACAUAGUCUGUUCACUAUACUAAGUGUCUAAGUACAGGGAAAGGAAACACGGAAAAAAACAGGGUUCCCCUUUCAUAGUUCAGAACAUAACUGAAAGAGGAAAUACCUAAACACAUAAUUUCAAUUUAAGGUGGCACACGCAGGGACAGAGGGUGUGCGGACAUAACACUGGCACGAGGAAAGGACAGAGGAAGCCCAACUACCAGCAGAGGAGUCCUCAAAGUCCACAGGUUUGGGCGGCUAGUUAGUAGGAAGAGAGCCGCGGUCAGCGAUCAGGCUCGUGUUUAGGAGGUGGCGCCAUUGCUCCUGGCAAAGAAGGGGUUGGCCAGGUAAGAGCAGGUAACUGGAGCAGUUCAAUGUCAUGGCUGGCUACAUGAAGAAAGUACUAUCUGGUGUAACUAAAAGCACAGAUGGGAGGUUUGGAAAGAGGCAUUCAAGCAAACUCCUUUAUUUCAAAAUAUGGGCAUUCAAUACUAUGCUACUACACAAGCCUUCUGGGCUCAGUAAAUCCAUCAUUAUGCAUGCAUUUAUCUUAUGCAACACACAGAAGCCUAGGAGAUGGGUAUUAUCUUGAUGCUGCUCAAGAUGAGGAUAUUGGGAAUCAGAAAAACUGCCCAGGGCCCUCAGCAACCAACUGGCAGAGUUAGGGAUCCAGUUCAGGUCAGCAUAAUGGUACACAGCUUUUACUACAUUAUGCGGCAAGUAAAAUGAACAGUUCAGCCCUCAAAUAGUUCUUUUGACAAUGCUCUUGCAAUGUAUCCUGAGUACCUUCCCUGUGAGAGGCUCAGCUCAGCAAAACUGAUGGAGUCCCACAGACUACUAACAAUUAAAUACACAAAGGAAUAACCAUAUAAACAAGUACAUCUGACCAGAAGUAGCCGCCUUAAAAUCGAAAAUGUCAGCAAGAAAUCUCUCACCUUUUCCAUUCCUAAUUUCUUAGAAAAACAAGUUCAGGUGAAAAAUCAACUGCCCAGAUCAGAAGGAAGUUAACUGUAAAGACAUGUACAUGAAAGAACAUGGGAAUAAGAUGAAACCAGAGUGAAAAACGACAAAUAGCCACCCUCUCGCAAGAACAUUAGAUAAUGACCCUUAGUCUACAGCACGGAAACACUCUUCUGCCAAUGGUUUAAUCAACUCUGGGGCACAUUAUUUUGAAUUCGGUCUUUCAGAGUGGUAAUUAAAUUGCAGCGGAAAAAAUUUAAGACCCUAACGGGAGCGGGCUUUGGGGACGGGGCGGGGGGGGGGGGGGAAGGCCUCCAUCGCCUUACCAAAAAAUCCUACAAAGGUUUCUCCAAAUAUUGAGCAACUGUCCCAGGUUAGGGAAACACCUGCGGCUAACAGUCUCCUUAAGCAGCCCUAGGAGUUGCUAAAGGUCCAACCACGCCGGCCGCAGGCGACAAUCCUGCAAGACUCCGGGGCCAGGAUGGGGGGAGAGCGCUCGCACUGCGGCUUGGAUCUCUUGUCUUGGGGGCAGUCUAGGAGACUCUGGGGUCCUCCCUCAUCAGGAAAGCCCUCAGUUUACAAAGAUUUCAGUCCCUAGCCCUCCGCCCGGACCAGGACGGCACAAGCAAACAAAGGCGCGGCUUGCGUCGUCCGCCGGCCGAGGUGAGGGGAAGGCGAGCGGUGACCCACCUGACCUCCACCUGCCCGACGAGAGGCCGGACCGGCCCUGUGUGGACUUGGCCGCACUUCCUUCGCCGCAGAGGGCCGGGGAGACUGGGGGACCCCGCCCUGCCCUCGGGGUGUCCCCGGGGGUCCCGGGCCGGAGCCCACGCCCACGCGCGGCCUCGCCGGGGCCGGCCCCGCACUGCAGCAGCGCCCGCCGAGGGCCCCGGCCGCGCUCGGGGGGCUCCCCUCGCCCCGGGACCGCCCCCACAGCGCCGCUCGAACCCUGCGCGUCCGGGGGGAGGACGCCCGCGCCGCCUCGCCGCCCCAGGGCCCGCGGGAGGAGACGCCCGGGGCGCCCGGGCUUCGCCCGGCGGCCGAGGGCGCGGGGCCGGCUUACCGGCGGCGGCGGCAGCGGCAGCGUCCCUUGUCGGCGGGCGCGCCCACGUGCGGCGCGGAAGAGCCGGCCGGGCUGUGGCAGGUAGAGCGAGCGGCCCGCUGCGGCUCAGUCGGAAGCCGGGACCGCGGAGGAAGCACCGCGCCCGAGCCGGAGCGGCCGCGGCCCCAGGCGGUGGGGCGGGACCGUGAGGAGGGCCCUCGGCAUGGAGGCGUGGUCAUGGCGGGCGGAGGCGGAGCCGGGGCGGGCCCCCGGCGCGCGGGGGCGGAGCCGGGGCGGGACCAAGGGCGAGCCCUCGGUGCGGGGUCAGAGGCAGUAGGCGGGCCUUCGAUCCGGGGGGCGGGAUCAGGAGGCGGUACCUUAGCGUGCGGGGGCGGGUCCUGGGCGACGACUAGCGAGCUCGGGGCUCCAGCCUCCGGUCUUCCACAGCUUCCAGGCGGUGGGCGUCGCUCUGAGUAGCAGAGACUAACUGCCGCCCUCGCAGCGGGUCUGCUCUGGGGAAGGCCUGCUCGGGUGGGCGGGGUGGCUUCGGCUUUCACCUGGGGCUCCCCCGCCACCCCAGAACCUCGGUCAGUGAAUCAGCGUACCCCGGGAGGGGCUUUGUAGUUAGAGACAAGGAGAACUGCGGGGGCCCAAAAGACUGGGGCCGAUGGCACCUGGCUCACCCCAUCCUUUCCGUCGGGGCCACACCCAAACCUUUUGCGAGGAGAUGAAAUGAACCUUUCCAUACAUGCUGGGGCCUUUGGAGGCUCGGGGACCCUGGUUAAAGCGCCCCCACCCCCGGAGGCCGCGCUUUUCUGGCCCUCGGCAUCAGAGGUGAGGAAGUUAAUUUUUGUAAUGAGUUCCUUUACGUGGGCUCUGGCUCAGAAAGGAGAGCAUUAAUAUUUCCGGAUAAAGUCUAACUCCUUCCUGUCAUCCUUACGAGCCUUCGGACCUGGACAGUUCAGACCCACACAACCUGGCCCAACGCCUGCAGGGCCAGAUGCACCUUAAGGAUGGGAGUCAGGCAGAGUUCACCUGAGCAUCCUAAUUGCACCAGCUGGGGCUCCCAGCCAAUCAAACCAGUGGCUCCUGUUGAGUGAGGUAGUAAUUUCUGCACAGGCCGCCAAUCAUUUAACCCUUGACAGUCCCUUAAGGAAUUUUCAGAUCUAGUCUGGGGCUCCUAAAAGCUAGGCGGUCAUGAAAGAGUUAGGAGGUCCAUGCACACUUAAAAAUUGUACAGAACAUUUUGUGUAUAUGUUUCUGCAAAAGGGUAUAUAGUUUGCGUCAGAUUCCCAAAGGGAUCUGCCACCUCUCCCAAAUCACCAAGAAUAUAUUUAUAGCUUGUGAUGCUGACCCCACCCCUGGCCCACCCAGGCUUCUGAUUCUGUUUCCAUCUACAUUUGCCAUACACCAAGGGCCCAGAUGUCAAUUCUCUAACGGUCAAUUUUAGGAAUAGUCUUAAAGUGGAAGCCGAGGAAAACUAAAGGGUAGAGCAUUGAGUAGGAAAAAAAGACUUUCGUGAAAAUUGAUUUCCUGAUCUGAGAAACUCCAUUUUUACAAAAACAGAUGCCAAAGGGUGAGGUGGGUUUUUUUGUCUUAGUUUCCUCAAAUCCUAGCCACACUCCAUACUGCAUUUAACUCAUAAUGAAAAAACUACUUCUACUUCCCAUUGAAAGAGAGAACAAGUCUAUUCAUGUCAAAACCACCAUGUGUAACUUUGUCCUAUACAUUAAAUGAUAUGCUUGCCUUUUUGUGUCACCUAUCUCUAAAGAAAUCCAGGUGUAUGGAAAGUUAAAUUAGCUUUGACAGUUUGCAGUAUCAUAAACCCUUAAAAGAAUAACUUCAUUGAUAAUCAGGAUUGAUAGUCAAUGUACAAGUAUUAAGAUUUGAAAGUUUAUUCCCCCACAAAUUCUGUUUUCGUGGGUCAGGUCGUCACUCUUCAAAGUCUACUUAGGUGUAUUCAUCUGUUUAAGGCACAUAAAUAGAGCAGGUUCCUCACAUAAUAAUGUUCUAAUCAGAGCAUUUCAGAGUUCAUUUGAAUCAGAACCUGAAUCCUUACCCCUUCUGAUAAUAAAGAAGGGGUUAUAAAUGAGAGGUGACUACAUUCUCUGGCUCAGGCUGGCCUACCUAGUAGAGAGAUUGGGGAGGUAAACACGUUCAGAGUUUCCAUAUGCAAACACUGGUAAUCCUCUAACCCUGUCUUUGCUAUAAACUGGAUUCUACUCUAUCCCAUCUAAAGUCCUGCUUAGUUCUGUAUUUGAUAUUGUGCCUGCUUUGUGGUUGACUUGCAGUAACAAGUAAACCUUUGUCAGGAUCGUCAUUAUCACCCAUUUCAUCUCCACACUACAUCACCGUUCAGCAUCUCGGUCUGUCACCAUCCUUGUUGCAGCUCAGUAGGUGAGGGAGAAGCCCAAAGGCCAGGCCUACAGCUGAUUCUGUAUGCGGGCUUAACACACGUGUCAACUUAGGAAAGUAUGUCACAGCGACGUUGAUUCAGAGAGGGUCACUGGCUCAAUUUGGUACCUAAGAAACACACAUAAUGGGAUAAUCCAUUUAAAAUAUGCCACUUUUAAACCAUAUUUCAUUUGCCUACCUUAUGGAAAAGUUCAUACAAAGGCUACGUUAGGGAUCUAAUAAUCAUAUGGCUUACAAAUCACUUAGAUUUGACAUAUCAUCCCCCUUAAUUUUUACACCGAGGGAGUUGCCCUGGUCUCCAGACUCCUCAUAGUGAAGUUGGAUGUGCCAAGCACUUGGCACCAAGAAAAGCCAAGGAACUGGCCUUAGUCCUGGAUAUGAUCCUGGCUCUUGGCUCUUAGCUGUGUGAUCUUGGGCAAGUUAGUCAAUUUCUCCAAGCCUUUUUUCCUUAUUUGAAUGAUAAUGACUCAUUUAAAUGAUAUUAAUACCUAUCUCAAAGAACUGCCAUGAGAAAUACAUAAAACAAUGUAGGGUAAAUAUUGAGCAUGACGUAUGGCCUCGUAUGCCAUGGUUCUCAACUCAUGAAUUUUUUUCUUUUUUCCCUUCUGAUUCUAAGCCCAAUUUUUUUUUUCACUACAGCCCACAAUGAAAUAUUUCAUGCACAUGUAUUAGGUUCCUUUUCGUUUCAAGCAAUAACAUAAUUCAAACUAGCUUAAGGAAAGUGACAUUUCUUGGCUCAGUCAGUUGAGCAUCUGACUCUUGAUUUUGACUCAGGUCAUGAUCCCAGGGUCGUGGGAUCGAGCCCCGCUUCAGGCUCUGUGCUGAAGAUGGAGCCUGCUUAACGUUCUCUCUGCUUCUCUCCCCCACUCAUGCUCUCAAUCUCUCUCUAAAAUAAAACGAAAGGAAUAGCCUGAGGCCAGCUAAGGGAUGCCACUCUGGGGAGGUGGGACAGUCUCUCUCGGGGCCAUUUUGUAAGUGCGUCCCUCGAGAAUUGGUUUCUUCCUUUUCAGGCUAUGCUUGGUUCCCUCUGCUUCCUCAACCAUAUGGUGUGAGGCAUGGCCACUCACAGUAACAGCUCGGAGCUUUUCCUGAUGCAGUCCAGCUGCUCCUCCUCUUUAGAAGACAGGCUUACAGCUGGAACAGUCAACAGAGGCUAGCAGGGCAAAGUCACUUUGUGGCUGUUGCAGCUGCAAACAUGGGAGGAAGCAGCGGGGGAGGGUGCUGGGCAGACCAUCUAAUAAUCGUCCCCUAUGACCUUUCCAUAAAAAAAUGAGACACACCGUUCUGGUCAGCAGUUUACCACCAAGGGUCUUUUAAGCAGGCUACACACUGAUCCCAAGAUGUCAAGGUGAUUGGCUAGAGAGAAAAAAGGGAGAAGAAAUAAAAGGAAAUGGCCUGUUUACUUGUGCAUUUCCUGUCUGUGACCCCAUUAGGCAGAACCUAAAAGUGCUCCAUGGUCCCAGACCUCUUGCCUGCCAUUGGCAGCGUUCUGGAGGCUGGCUGCAGAGGGAGACCAGAGUAUGAAAGCUAUUGAGGCAACAUAUUGAAAACCAUCAAAAUGUUUUUAGAGCCAGACAAGAAGGCAUUAAAAAUGUCCUAGGAGCUACGGUCUGAGAUGAAUGUAAGAGCAAGCUGGGUUUAAUCAGGCAAUAUAGAGAUGGCUAAAGGAAGUGAGAUGUAAUCUGGGUGGGAUUCAGAUGUCCUUCACCCAAAGUGGAUGAAGAAGUGAGGUUGUCAGGAGCUACACGACACUUUGCCAUGCUGCCGUCAUUACGUUGGAGAGUCAAGACGAAGAAACACUUUGCACGCUGUGACAGACCAGACGUAACAGGGUUACCUGAGUAGUCCUGGUCCGCCAAAUGAGGGAAAUCUUGAGUACUCCCAUACUGUACUUAUUAUCAAAUGGAAGCCAGCAUCAUCUUAUUUCUGCAAUGCUGUUGUCAGGUGAUAUGAUGUGACCUUUGUGGUCAUGAUCAGGUGACAACAUUGCUGUAUCUCACUGUGAACAACCCAUCAUAAACUUGGUAAAUUUGUGGUUUCUUUCCUUUGUCAUUUGUCCAUCUUGCACCUGUUGCAUUUCUCUUGUUUGGCUAGCCAUUCCUUCUGAGGUCUUGACGCCCUAGCAAACUUGCCUCACAAGUGUACGUCUCUUUCGUGAGAUUCUUUAGUCUCCAAGUCCUUCUUCUACAGGGUAUAACCAGAACCAAGGGGGCUGAUUACAAAGCCAGUCCCAUUUGGAAGCAGUGAAUGUGGAGUUGGUUGUCGGAGAGACUACAAAAGGCCCAGGAACACUCAAGAAUCACCCUGGGCUGUAGGGGAGCAGGAACAGGUCAGGGAGAAGACAUCUGCCUCUGCGAGAGCAGAGAUGGUCUGCACAAAGUUGCCUAUGCCGGGGCAAUUUGAAAGAAGGGGCAGGGCAACUUUGCAAACAUUCUGGGAACACAGAAUGCAAAACCCCAAGUGAAAAACCCAGUAUGGAAGAAAUCGUAUCCCAAUGAAAAAAAAGGACAUUCCUCCUGAGUCCUUCAAGCCAUACUGCUUCAUAAGAACCCGUUCAAAUGUGCCCAAAUAUAAUGAAACAGAAUGCGGUACAAAGCAGGAUUGCAGAACAAUAGAAAUGGAGGAAUCACAUCCUCGAAGAGUCAACAACCUAGAAACAGCAUGGGAUUGCUGGAACACGGCUGCAGCCCGCUCCGUAGCCCUGAGGGCUCUCGUUCGGCCAACACCAGCAGCACCCAGGAACUUGUCAGAAGUGCACAUCUUUGCGCCCCAGUUCUGAGCAAUGUUUUAACAUGCCCUCCAGGUAAUUGUGAUGCCCUCUGACACUGGAGAACCACUGGACCAGGUUCUUCUCCGUCUCAGGUUAGAGUCUGGGCACAGUAAAAUCUCUCGGCCCGAUUCUAGACGAGACCCGCUUUCUCACAGGGAGAUUCUAGUCGACAGAAAAUGAAGCCGACUAUACCACCAGAAUUCACUCAUUCACUCCACAAACGUUUAUUAAGCAUUAAGCACCAAAGCAGACAUUCACCAGUUUUGGACGACUUUGUCAUGGACCAGUUGGCCAUGAGGCUCGGUAGCAUCUGGAGGCAGGAGGGCCAAGUAGACAGGGGUCUCAGCUCCCUCCUCCACAGUCCUGGGGCCGCAAGGCCCACCCAGGUCCGUUUUUACCCACCCCGGGCAGCAUGCGUUCAGCAGAAUCCUGUCCGCUUUUCUCUUCUCAUCCAGAUGCCGGGCCAAGAUCCUUGAUAAGACCGUGACCCCCAGCUUGGACACCCCAUAAGCCGAGUUGGGCCAGCCUUCCCUCUCGUGCACUUCGUUGUUUGCAUCCUCCACAAACUUUUUCAUGAGGUCCACCAGGUCCCCUUCUGUGAGCGUCUCGCAUCGGAACUUCUUCUGUAGAUCUGGGCUGCAAUUUUCAAGAGCUUUGGAGCCCUCUAAACUGCUGAUAUUCACCACCCUGCCUGAAACAGAAUAGUAAAUAUAUGGAAGCAGGUCACAGAUAAAUGAUUGUUGGGUGACUAUACCCAACAUGCAAUUGAUUGAUACUGCAGGUUUAAUUGCUGGUUAAAAAAAAAAAAAAAAAGACUCUAGAAGGGACCCAGUGGGCUUUAACAUUAUUUUGUGCUCUCCUCCCCCAAAGGAAAGGACACAUUUCCAUCAGUAACAGGGGCUAAAGGGCAGUGAUUCUCCAGUGGGCAGUUUUAUAAAACAUCCCACUACACACACACAAACACUCCAGGCGCCUGUGAACUUGGUUUCCCAGAGACAGCACCCUCACCCCAAGGAUUAAAGCUGUUUACUGGUUUGCACAAUUUCCUAGGGCCCUGGGCACCACCUCUUUGCCUCCAACUGCCAAAUAUCAGGGUCAAGCAAUGCCUUACGAUGACCCUGUCUAUCCUGAAUGAUGGGUACUCUCACACAUGGAGUGGGUUGAUUCUCCAUCCCAGUUUUGAUUUUCUUCACUUUCUUUAGCCCAUCAUUAAUAAUUAAAUAUAAUUAAUGAGUUAAUAUUCACAUUAACCAUAAUUCACGGCUAUUAAAAAGACGGUUAUGUCUAUGAAAAAACAUGCAGGCCAGAAACUAGAAGACGGCUGGAAACAUUGAUUGGAAAUCCCAAAACCAGUGUGUGAAUUUACACAGUUCACCUAACAUCAGAAGACACCACGUUGCGUUACCUGGGUGGCUCAGUCGGUUGAGUGUCCGACUUCAGUUCAGGUCAUGAUCUCAUGGUUCAUGAGUUCGAGCCCCACAUGGAGCUGUAUGCUGUCAGCACAAAGCCCACUUCGGAUCCUCUGUCCCCUUCUCUCACUGCCCCUCCCCCACUCAUUCUCCUUCUCAAAAAUGAAUAAACAUAAAAAAAAAAGACACCACAUUUAGGGGGUUCUUUUCUUACAUAUUAUCCCGAAUCCACUCUUUCUGUAUCCACUAGGAUAGGUGGAUUUUAUUGCAUUUUCUGAGUGGCAUUCAUUCACCAUGGGGUUGGGGGUGUGUGUGUUGUACAUUCUACUAGAUAUCUUUGUGGGCCAACUGCACACAGAGAUGGCCUCACUCUGUCUUGAAUAUGAGCACUCACUUAUCCCCAGGUACCUAAGACUCUUCAGUAUUUUCUUCCUCUCUUGUAAUACAUAUUUCCUUCCCAACUUUGAACUGUGAAAAAUUUGAAGCCUACAGAGAAAUUGCAAGAAUAGUUCAAUACAUACCCAUAUGCCCUUCACCUAAGCCCCUCAAUUAUUAACAUUUGGCCACAUUUGCUUUCUCUUUGUCUUAAUUGCAGACAAGUAUCAUAAAACUUUGCCCUAAGCACUUUAUAUACGGUAACAAGGGUAUUACCUUACAUAACCACAAGAGUGAUCACCCUCAAGACAUUUAUCAUGAUAUAACACUAUUAUCUGAAGUACAGUCCGUAUUCAAAGGGUCCAAUUAUCUCAAUAGUCUUUCUUUAUAGUUUUUGUUUUCAUCCAGGCUCCAACGUAGGAUCACGGAUUGUAUUUAGCAGUCAUAGCUCUUUAGUUUUAACCUAGAGUAGUUAACAAUGAUCUUUUUGAAGACUCUAGGCUAUUAUUUUGUAGUAUUUCUCCCAUUUGGACUGGCAUGGUUUUCUAAUUAGAUUCACUUCAAUGCUUUGGCUAGGAAUACUACUUUGAUGAAGUUGUGUUCUUCAUUACUUUCUAAGCAGCUUUGUUUGUUUUUUUUUUUUUAACGUUUAUUUAUUUUUGAGACAGAGAGACAGAGCAUGAAUGGGGGAGGGUCAGAGACAGAGAGGGAGACACAGAAUCGGAAGCAGGCUCCAGGCUCCGAGCUGUCAGCACAGAGCCCGACGCAGGGCUCGAACUCACAGACCAUGAGAUCAUGACCUGAGCCGAAGUCGGACGCUUAACCGACUGAGCCACCCAGGCGCCCCCCUUUUUUCUUUUUUUUAAGCCAGCGUGGGGCUUGAACUCACAACCCUGAGAUGGAGAUCCAAGCAGACAUCAAGAGUCAGACACCUAAUCAACUGGGCCACCCGGGCACCCUAAACAAAUUUGUUCUUAAUUGCCUGGUUGCUACAAGGAAUUAAAUUCAAAAGGGUAAAGAAAGAAAGAAAAAUGAACAUAGGGGUGCUACUCUUUGCCUUUGGUAGAAAUAAAAAACUUUCUAAGAGUCAGAGGUGUCCUCUGAUCUCAGGUGACAUCUCAGGUGAUCAUCAGUGAGGCCAAGGGAUGACCAUCUCAGCAGCCAGCUGGGUGCAAUCAGUCCUGAGAAGGGCUGCACCCACACAACCACCACCAUUUGCUGAGGUCCAGGUGGGCCCCCUGGUCCUGAAACAACCCCUAGCCAUUCUUAGAAAGAGUGGACAAGUAGCUCCCCCUAGUGGGUAAACAUUGGAUUAACUUAUUCACUCAGAAUCUUGAAAGAACAAGCAAAAGGUUUGGUAACUUAAAAAUUUUUUUUUAACUGUGCAUAUAUUUUUGAGAGAGAUACACACCAAGUGCCAGCGGGAGAGGGAGACACAGAAUCUGAAACAGGCUCCAGGCUCGGAGCUGUCAGCACAGAGCCUAAAGCAGGGCUGGAACCCACUAACCGUGAGAUCAUGACCUGAGCUAAAGUCAGACACUUAACCCACUGAGCCACCCAGGGGUCCCAGAAGUAACUUUCUUUUAAAGAGGUAUUAUAGGGGCGCCUGGGUGGCUCAGUCGGUUAAGCGUCCGACUUCGGCCUAGGUCAUGAUCUCACAGCUCGUGGGUUCAAGCCAGGCUUCAGCCUCUGUACUGACAGCCUGGAGCCUGCUUCAGAUUCUGCGUCUCUCUCUCUCUCUGCCCCGCCCCUGCUCACACCCUGUCCAUCAAAACGAACAAACAUUAAAAAAAAAUUUUUUUAAAUAAGGAGGUAUUAUAAAGCCAAAUCAAAUGUGACAUUUAAGUCAGUUUUGCAUGGGUAGAGAUUCCCUACAAAUCAAGAAGCAAGGAUCCUCGCUUUUUGCCUUCUGGGUAAACGUGAGUUUUACUGAAAAUUCACAAGUAUUCUCAAUGUGUUGUAAACCAGAUUCCCAAGUUGGGAAUUACUGUUACAGAGAACUGGUUGAAGCCAGUGAUUCAUCUGCUUCUGGGUUGAUGCCCGAGCUCCACCCUCCUCCAAGCUGCCUUUCAUCUUUCAAAACGGCUUGUUUUGCAAUUGUUUGGCGUUAAGAUCCUUCCCUUCACUGGAACUAAUUAUCCUGAUUUGAUUGAGGGGUGAAGUCAGGAAACCUGAACACUGUUUCCAGAUCUAUCACUACCUGACUGCGUUCAUGUCUUUGGGUCUCAAUUUCCUUCUCGUAAAAUGAAGUCAUAGGAAUGUCAAGUUUCUUCAAUACCUUGUAGUUUUCCAAUUCUAGGAUUCUAAAACCCAUAGAGAGAAGACUUCUAGACACUUGGUAGACAUCACCCUUGCAAAUGGAAUACAAUGCAGCUGUAAAAAAAAUAAGAAAGCUUUCUGUCUUGAUCUAGAAAGAGUCCCAGAGAUAGUGAAAAAAAGCAUAGUAGCAAACAUUAUACUUAAUGUUCCCAUUAUGUAAAAAAGGGAUACACACACACACAUACAUAACUUAGAUUUGCAUUUAAAAACUAUGCCCUUGGCCCUGAGCACUCAGCAACUCCACGCACCUAGAACCAAGCAAGGCUUCCUUCAGCCAGUCCCAGCAACUCUGCCUGCGGGCUUUCUGUGAUCUCAUCCCACUGGGAAAAGACAAAGGGAAUCGCCUGUAGAGACUGGGGACAGGAAUUGGGCAAGUGGGGGAGCAUGAGUCUGAGUGCAGCUCUCACCAAACAUCUUUUUAGAUUUUAAGAUUUUUGCACUAGAGAUCAUCUUUAUUCAAAAUGUUAAAUUAAGAAAAGCACUUUUUUUUUCUUUUUUUUUGGGAGACAGCAAGCAUGAGCUGGGGAGAGGGGGAGGGAGAGAGAGAGAGCGAGAGCGAGAGAAUCUUAAGCAGGUUCCACACUCAGCACAGAGCCCAAUGCGGGGCUCCGACCCCACGACCCUGGGAUCAAGACCUGAGCUGAAAUCAACGGUCAGAUGCUCAACCGACUGAGCCACCCAGGCACCCCAAGAAAAGCACAUUUCUUAUAAGAACCACAGAGUUUUUCUUCCUAAGAAUCACAGCUGCCUUCCUGGGAAAGAGAAUCGUCAAGGAAGCGAGCCUUCUCUGCCCCCUCCCAGUACAGUUGUAGGAUUUUUUGUCAAUGAGGGUCUUGUCCACUGGACUCAGUGCUCCAUGGUCAGGAUUGUCCCUGUUCACAGUGCUUACCACUGUGUCCCCAGCACCCUGGGUUAUGGUAGGCCCUCCAGUAUUUGUGGAAAAAGUAAUAAAAGUUAUUGAAUACUUGGGAGUGUGGGCAAGAUACUUCCUAAUAAAGAAAUAUUUCUUUGGGAGGUUCUUCAUUAGCUUGACAAAGUGAAGAAAGGAACACAGGGAAAGUCAUAAUGAUGCUAAAACAGAGCCUUCCCUGCCAGGCUCCCAAAUGAGCUGGUGUGGCCCCACCACCCUGAGGAGCUGAGAAGGACCCACUGAGGUUGCUCAAAGGCAAGAGGCCUUUGGGGACUUGUAACACCUAUUAUUCUAGGGUUGAGUUCAUAUCAUGGGACCAAAGAGCACUGCCAUGUAUCAAACAUAUCUUUCAUUUUAUUUUUAAGUAGGCUUCACGCCCAGCGUGGAGCCCAAACUGGGGCUUGAACUCACGACCCUGAGAUCAAGACCUGAGCUGAGAUCAAGAAUCGGAUGCUCAACCAGCUGAGCCACCCAGGCGCCCCAUUAUACAUCUUUUUUUAUUUUUAUUUUUGAGACAGUGAGAGAGAGAGAGAGAAUGAGAAUGAGCAGGGGAGGGGCAGACAUAUGGCUGGACUUACCAUGAGGUUUUAUUAUUGGCAGUAAUUCUAUGCAGACAUUCCUUGUGGCAAAAAAGUUUGUCUUCAGUGUUAUCUCAGCUCGAAUGUCAAAGGGUGUUGGAUCAUCAGCUUCCAAAAAGAGAAGGAAACAAAGUCAUGCAUUUCCCCUUGAAAUGUAUAUAACAAAGUGAAUCUUAUCCCUCUCUCAAGUUUAUUUAACCAAUCUCUGCGCGGAAGGUGGGGCUGGAACUCACAACCCCAAGAUCAAGAACCUCAUGCUCUACGGACAGAGCUAGCCAGGCGCCCUAGAUUUUAUCUCUAAUUAAAGGAAAAACUAGCUAACUUUAUUAUUAUAUUUUUGUAGUUUAUUUUUGAGAGAGACGGAGCUUGAGUGGGGGAGGGCAGAGAGAGAGAGAGGGAGACACAGACUCCGAAGUGGGCUCCAGGCCGUCAGCACAGAGCCCGACGCGGGGCUUGAACUCCCGAACCCCGAGGUCAUGACCUGACCUGAAGGCCCAGCCUCAACCAACUGAGCCACCCAGGCGCCCCUAAAACAAGCUAACUUUAAAACGAUUUUUAAGCCACCGGAUCCGAGCUUCAAGGGUGUAUCUGAAUCACCUGCAGGGCCUGUUAAAACACAGCUUUCUGGGCUCCGCCCCCAGAGUUUGGGAUUGAGAAGGUGUCGGGUGGGGCUCCAGAAUUUGCAUUUUUAACGCGUUCUCGGGUGACGCUACAGCUACAGGUCUGGCCCCACUUUGAGCAUUCCUGGCUUUCAGGGCAGCGGCUCAAUCUUGAAAGGGUAUGGGAGGCACCUGGCUAUCCUGUUAAAAUGAAAUUCUGAUUCAGCGGGUGUGGGGUGAGGCUCGAGAUCCUGCGAUCCCAGCGAGUGCCUGGGGCUGCACGUGCUGUUGGUCCACCGCCCACACUUUUGAGGGGGCAAGGGCUGCCAGCGGACCCGCGUUCCUGCACGCUUGGUCCGGGAAGCGGCGUAUUUAUCCAUCAAUCCUUCAGCCAGGGGCUGAGGGUUGUACCAGCGGGUGUCUGCCACCUCCCACCCGCGCUUCCGGAAAGCCGACCCGCUGAGUUGGAGGUGCGGGUGCACAGCUUCGGUGAGGGUUCAAGCCGGGGGGCUGGUCAUUCAAGGCCUCACGGCAGUUUUUACUCCCUUCUGCCUGUUGGGUUUCUCGUCUCCACUAGGUUGUAGGUGAGUCUGGCUUGGUUAUUCUUUCUACCUCCACCACACGGCGGCUCAACAACUUUCUCAGUAGAUCAAUAGAGCAAUAUCCUUGACCUCCCCCCCCCGCCAAAGAUGAUACUUAAAAUCACACUUAAAAUGUAUGUUUGAUGACAAACAAAUUCCCUGGGGGAGGGAACAAGGCUCGCUUCCUUUCUGGCUGAGCCUAUCAAAGCUUUCCAUUAAACAAAAUCUCAAGUCCACUAUUGUGCAAGUGCGCGCUGAUCGCGUCUCAGCGAUCCAUUUCCUGUCCCGAGCAGAUGCCUCCGGGCUUCUAUGAAAGCUCCCUUUCAAGGAAAGCGAAAGCCCAAAGUGAGCUGGAGACCCUUCGCAGGGAAAAUGUUUUUUGCUUUAGACAGAAAGCUGAUGAGCUUAGCAGGGCGUGGCCCCCUCCCAGGAGGCCGGUUUUCUGGCAAACCGCAGCAACCGACGGCUCCGGGAGGGCCCAGGGCUGCGCCCCGCCAGCUUCGCGCUAAGCGAACCGCUCCCGCGACUCCGCGGAAAGCGAGAAGCCGCCGAGGGAGGCCAAUGUUGAGCGCAUCCCGAGGGGCCGGCGCUGCGCUCCGCGAUCACUCCAGCCCACAAGUAGGGGGCGCCCGCGGCUCUCUGCCCCGAACCCUUGGCGCCCCCAGAGACCCACCCCCGACCUACGCUGGAAGGCGAUGCCCGCGUUGUUGACCAGCACGUUGAGGCCCCCGUACUCCUUGCGCAGGAAGUCGCGCAGGGCGCGGAUGUUCUGCAGGUCGUCGAUGUCCAGCAGGUGGAAGCGGGGGCUCAGGCCCUCGGCCUGGAGCUGCUGCACUGCCGCCCGGCCCCGCGCCGCGUCCCGCGCCGUGAGCACCACGUCCCCCGAAAAUUGCCGGCACAGGUCGCGCGCGAUGGCGAAGCCGAUGCCUUUGUUGGCCCCGGUCACCAGCGCCACGCGGCUGCAGGACGACAUGGCCGGGGAAGGCACUUGGCGCGUGGAGAGCGGCCCGGGCUGUGAGCCACUAGGGAGCUCGCUGCGGAGGCUCGGACACAGAGAAGCCACAGAGAACUGAGUUCUGGGAUCCAGUGCUGCGACUUCUAGAGAACGAGGCCCGGCCCUCGGUCCCUCCCCUGCGAGGAGUGGCCGUCCGUUCCCGAAGGUUUCGUAACGCCCCCCUCCGGAGUCCGCCCCUUCCCGGCGCUGCGCCCUUUUGAUCCCGCGUCUGAGCCCAGCGGUGGUCUGCGGGGUGGAGCGGUUAGUCGAUUUCCCAAAGCCCAAACCGAUGGUGAUGGGAUCUAGAGAUUCAUUGCAGUUGGACUGAAACUAUUCUAGGAAAACCCCAAAAGGAGAAAAACAAGGGCUGAGUAAUUUUCUUGGGCGUGCGCCCAUCAUCCACUGCAAAAUGAAAAUGUUUGCUUUUUCCUCAAAUGCAGCGAAAUGAUUUAGACACGGUAACUGCCUCUCAGGACAUAGGUUCUCCCGUUUCCUUAAACUCAAGGAAAAAAGGUCUUAUGAGUAGAUUUUCAGGUGCGGGCAGGGUUCAUUGCUGUGUGUGAUUGCCAGCCGGCCCCCGAGUGAGAGGGAGUGUUUAUGAAGCUCUUACUGUGUGCCAAGCCUCUUAUUGGAAUGUUUUUAUUUAAUCCUUACAUAACUCAUUUGGGUGCUAAGUGUCUGCAUUUUAGGUCUGUCCAAGGAGGCUAUAUAUAUAUAUAUAUAUAUAUAUAUAUAUAUAAUUUUUUUUUUUUUCUCCCAGUGAAAACUGUGCACCUGCAAAGUUCAAACAGAAAUGAAUCCCCUGGUGUGUCAAGGUCUGCACAGACAAUCAGAACUCCCCCAUGCGUCUUCUUUAGUGUAAUCUGAGGGUGUUUGAUUGGUGACACUUAGAUUUAUGGAGAGCUGCGACCUCAUUAUGACUCAGCUUUUCCCAAGCAGAGUUGGCUAAGCUGCUGGUGUCUGUCACCUUGCCUCUACCCUUCUCUAUCAAAUCAACAAACAAGAUCAGGAAAGUGGGUUCUUGCUGGGUGGUCCCUUACUGUAGCUCAACCAAUAUAUUUUUUUCUCUCUAAAAAUUAUUUGGAACUUUAUUUUAAAGUUGUGGGACUAGCCUUUUCUGAAGAUGGUGUGGAAAGGGAAGAAGGAAGCCCCUACCCCUCCCAAAGCAGAAGCCAGAGCAAAGGCUUUGAAAGGCAAGAAAGCGGUGCUGAAAGGCAUCCACGGUCUCUCUCUCUCUCUCUCUCACACACACACACACACACACACACACACACACACACACACACACAGAUCCUCACAUCACCUACAUUCUGAUCGCCUAAGACACCGUGUCUCCAAAGGCAGCUCAAAUAUCCUCAAAAGAGUACCCCCAGGAGAAACAAGCUUGACUACUAUGCCAUCAUCAAGUUCCCCCUGACUACAGAGUCAGCCAUGAAGAAAAUAGAGGACACUUGUGUUCAUUGUGGAUGUUAAGGCCAACAAGCACCAGAUCAAACAGGCUGUGAAGAAGCUCUAUGACAUUGACGUGGCUGAGGUCAACACUCUGAUCAGGCCUGAUGGAGAAAAGGCAUAUACGUUCAACUUUGGAUGUUGCCAACAAAAUUGGGAUCAUCUAAACUGAGUCCGGCUGACUAAA
rnacentral:lncRNA from 1 species